rnacentral:rRNA from 1 species
GUCCAGACUCCUACGGGAGGCAGCAGUCGGGAAUAUUGCGCAAUGGAGGAAACUCUGACGCAGUGACGCCGCGUAUAGGAAGAAGGUUUUCGGAUUGUAAACUAUUGUCGUUAGGGAAGAAAAAAGACAGUACCUAAGGAGGAAGCCCCGGCUAACUACGUGCCAGCAGCCGCGGUAAUACGUAGGGGGCAAGCGUUAUCCGGAUUUACUGGGUGUAAAGGGAGCGUAGACGGCGAAGAAAGUCUGAAGUGAAAGCCCGCGGCUUAACCGCGGAACUGCUUUGGAAACUUUUUUGCUGGAGUACCGGAGAGGUAAGCGGAAUUCCUAGUGUAGCGGUGAAAUGCGUAGAUAUUAGGAGGAACACCAGUGGCGAAGGCGGCUUACUGGACGGUAACUGACGUUGAGGCUCGAAAGCGUGGGGAGCAAACAGGAUUAGAUACCCUUGUA